UACGUAGGGUGCAAGCGUUGUCCGGAAUUAUUGGGCGUAAAGAGCUCGUAGGCGGUCUGUCGCGUCUGCUGUGAAAACUCGGGGCUUAACCCCGGGCCUGCAGUGGGUACGGGCAGACUGGAGUACUGCAGGGGAGACUGGAAUUCCUGGUGUAGCGGUGGAAUGCGCAGAUAUCAGGAGGAACACCGGUGGCGAAGGCGGGUCUCUGGGCAGUAACUGACGCUGAGGAGCGAAAGCGUGGGGAGCGAACAGG
rnacentral:rRNA from 1 species